rnacentral:lncRNA from 1 species
AAUUAUACAAAUAAAAGUUUGUAAACUGGUACAAAUAUCGAUGAUUUACAAACUACGUAACAACAAUAGCAUUUGCCGGUCAUAGUCAUCACGCUCAAUUCAGGUUAGACCGCUUCGAAUAGUUUACCUCUUUCCUCAUCCUUUCUCUCCCUCGACAUCUUCCUAGAUCUUUUCCUUCGCCUUCUAACCCAAAUCCCUCGCCCUUGAUUGCAUCUCCUCCUUGACGCAUCCCAACGGUCGUAGUACGACAUCAUCCAUGCCGAAAGCCACGUAAAGACGCGACCCUUUGCCCUUUUGACUUGUCUCUACGAUCGAGUUCUCCGGGGAUGGAUUUCGAACCACAUCGCCAAACGUCGUUCGACGAGCUCGAUGCGUUUUAAGAACAGCCAGAAAACGAAGUGUAGAUCAUUGGAUUCCAUAGAGUCGCUGGAUUGUUA